rnacentral:misc_RNA from 1 species
GAUGAAGAACGUAGCGAAAUGCGAUAAGUAAUGUGAAUUGCAGAAUUCAGUGAAUCAUCGAGUCUUUGAACGCACAUUGCGCCCGCUGGAACUCCGGCGGGCACGCCUGUCCGAGCGUCAUUUCAACCCUCAGGCCCCCCUUCGCGGGCGGGCCUGGUGUUGGGGCCCGGCCGCUACCCUGCGGCCGUCCCCUAAAUUCAGUGGCGGCCUCGCCGUGAUCCCUUGCGUAGUAAUGCACCUCGCACCGGAGAGCGCCGUGGCCACGCCGUAAAACCCCCAAUUUUCAAUGGUUGACCUCGGAUCAGGUGGGAAUACCCGCUGAACUUAAGCAUAUCAAUAAGCGGAGGA